ACUCAAAGGAAUUGACGGGGGCCCGCACAAGCGGUGGAGCAUGUUGUUUAAUACGUCACUAACCGUAGAACCUUACCAGGUCUUGACAUCUGUGGAACCUCCCAGAAACGGGAGGGUGCCCUUCGGGGAGCCACAAGACAGGUGUUGCAUGGCUGUCGUCAGCUCGUGUCGUGAGAUGUUGGGUUAAGUCCCGCAACGAGCGCAACCCUCAUCCAGUGUUGCUACCAGGUUAAGCUGGGCACUCUCUGGAAACUGCCCGUGCAAGCGGGAGGAAGGUGGGGAUGACGUCAAGUCAGCAUGGCCCUUACGACCUGGGCUACAAACAUGCUACAAUGGCGCGUACAGAGGGCUGCAAAACCGCGAGGUUGAGCCAAUCCCAAAAAGCGCGUCUCAGUUCGGAUCGGAGUCUGCAACUCGACUCCGUGAAGUCGGAAUCGCUAGUAACCGCAGGUCAGCUAUACUGCGGUGAAUACGUUCCCGGGCCUUGUACACACCGCCCGU
rnacentral:rRNA from 1 species